rnacentral:tRNA from 1 species
GCCCCCGUAGCUCAGGGGAUAGAGCAUCGGGUUCCUAACCUGUGUGCGAUGGUUCGAGUCCAUCCGGGGGCG